AUCAUGAAUUUGUACUUUUCUUCCUGGUUUUACGAAACAGAAAGAGAUAUUUUUUUCCACUUGAACUGCGUAUAUGAUUGUGAUUUAUUGUACACAGAUACAUGGACUUUCGGUUUGAUUAAUCUAAACACGUUUGAGUGGCCUGAUAGAUCUGCGAAAGGGAUAUCUAAUUUAGCAACAAUGUCUAGACGCCCACAUAGUGACAUAAAUAAACGAAACCCGCAUACAUGAAGAAAUAUGGGUGGUUACUCGUCUACUGAAGAACAGACUCCUGUGGCAUCGUCACAACCCUUUGCUUCUGCUCAAGUCGAUGUUAUCAAGGAAAUCUCUAUUGAGAUAGAAACUGACCUGAUAUGAAGUAUCAGCUCCCUCGUCGACGACGGUAAGAAAUUCGCGGACCAAAUUUCAAGACUAGGAAAAGAAUUAUCAGAGCAGAAGGAAACGUAUAAACACCAUGACGAAAUUACAUUUACAUGUAACAUGUAUCUUUAGAGAGCAACAGAAACACCAACAUAAUACUGGGUCACAGGAUACAUCAAUGACAAGCAUGACAGAUGAUGAAGCUCAAAGUGAACACGAACCCGAUUACACUACGAAGGGACGUAUGCAUCUUUAUCUCAACAAUACUCAAUAAUAAUUCCCCUUCUUAAGAGAAAGUUUAUAACGUUGUAGUGUUUUUGCUCUAAGCAAACACGAUGUAUAUAAUAUUUAAGAUUCGAACGGAAUAUGGCUGAAUCAUAAGAGUAUACAAGGAACUCUCAAUAGUAUUACUGAUUAAUUUUACUGGCUACACGGUUGUAAAAUAAAUUUCAAUGACAACCGCCAAACAAAGUUAAAUAACUGAAAUGAUCUUUGGUUUUAACAACCUAUUUCGUUGAUGUAGAUAUAUAAUUAUGCGUUGAAAUAAAUAUACUUUCUAUUCUGUUCUGUUAUGUCCUGUAAUGUUUAUCGUAUUCAUUGAUCCGUUCGACUUGCUGGCUGAACUAUCUCUGGAGAUUGACGAGUUUAAGCGAGGUCACCGAGCGUUUGAAGUUCUUAUUCAAGAUCAGGAGCAUCUAUUGGCGCAUAAGGAAAGCGUGGUGAACAAACAUGGCGAUAAAAUAAAAGAGCACGAGGAUUCCAUUAAACUUCUAAAAGAACAACGCCGUCAACGAAAAGGAAAUAUAAAGACACAGAAGAUAUACAUGAAAGAGUUACAAAGGAUUUAAAGAAGUAUAAGAAAAGAAUAACAAGAGUGGACACAGAAUACAAAAGAUCAAAAGAAAUAUCACUGAAACGCUCUCAAAACUGUAAAGCAUCGCCUCCAAACAAUAGACAGACUACGGAACAGAACACCGAUCUAAGGUGGUUCUUGUGAUGUUUCACAAGACGGCGGGCAGCAAGACGCCAGUGGAAGUGUACAUGUAUACAUUUAAACAUGCGGAAGUGGCCAGAGAACUUCAUGUGCCCUUCAAAUUAAACUCUUGACGAGUGUUGAGCCAUUGCUGUUUAGCACCCAAUGAUGUGCAUUGGCUUGUUAACGGUAUAUAUGACACGUGUUUGUUUAUGACUGUUUGUUCUCUGUAUGCCGUUUUUGUUGAACAUGUUGCGUUACUGCGCUUCCCUCGACUAACCAUUUUAUCAAUUCCUUUACCCUAGUUUUUGGCGGCAAAAUGUAUUGCUUAUUGUAUAUAGAUAUAAAUGUUGAUGAAUAUUAAACAUUUAGUAUCCUG